GCCGAAGUGGUGGAAUGGCAGACACGACCGCCUCAAAAGCGGUUGCCCUCUGGGCGUGUGGGUUCAACUCCCACCUUCGGCA
rnacentral:tRNA from 1 species